CAGGCUUAACAUAUGCAAGUCGAGCGGGCGAGGUUGCUUUGGUAACUGAGCUAGCGGCGGACGGGUGAGUAAUGCGUGGGAAUCUACCCAUCUCUACGGAACAACUUCGUGAAACUGGAUCUAAUAGCGGAUACGUCCAUCGGGCGAAAGAUUUAUCGUGGAUGGAUGAGCCCGCGUUGAAUUGGCGAGUUGGUGGGGUAAUGGCCAACCAAGCCAACGAUCCAUAGCUGAUCUGAGAGGAUCAUCAGCCACAUUGGGACUGAGACACGGCCCAAACUCCUACGGGAGGCAGCAGUGGGUAAUAUUGGACAAUGGGCGCAAGCCUGAUCCAGCCAUGCCGCGUGAGUGAUGAAGGCCCUAGGGUUGUAAAGCUCUUUCACCGGUGAAGAUAAUGAAGGUAACCGGAGAAGAAGCCCCGGCUAACUUCGUGCCAGCCGCCGCCGUAAUAU
rnacentral:rRNA from 1 species